rnacentral:lncRNA from 10 species
UAAUGGAGGCCCUACUAUGGGAGGGUCACACUACAUAGUGGCUGGAACCCCUUUCGUCAAUGGCCUCCCAUGAAUGGUGUUGCUAAUAAAGCCUAUUAAUGAGCUUCCACGGCGGAGUGUGAAUAGGUAAAUAAGCCCCAAUCUGUUGAGGUUCUGGGGCAAGGGCAGAAAAGCCAGUAAGAACUAAAGGUGACAGUUUGAACUGAACUGCGAACGCCAGCACCAGGUUUCAGCUGAAAGAACCGCCAGACAAGGACACAUUCACAGUUCCUCCACCCCCUACUGAGGUCUCUUUUCUUCGCAAUUUUCCCC